AACGCACCUUGCACUCUUUGGUAUUCCGAAGAGUAUGUCUGUUUGAGUGUCAUGAAUCUCUCAACCCCCCUGUUUUGUAAUGAGACGGGCGUUUGGGCUUGGAUUAUGGCUGCCUGCGGAUCUUUCAUUAAGGUCGGCUCAGCUGAAAUACACGAGCAACCCAGUUUGAAUGUCAACGGCUUGACUCGGCGUAAUAGUAUUAUUUCGCUGGGGACGUUGAGUAUCAAGAUAGUGGUGCUUCUCAUGCGGCAGGGCUUUUACGCUCUCCAUUUUUUAAGCUUUAGACCUCAAAUCAGUCAGGACUACCCGCUGAACUUAA
rnacentral:misc_RNA from 1 species